GCACAAGCGGAGGAGCAUGUGGUUAAUUCGAUGAUACGCGAGGAACCUUACCUGGGCUCGAACGUAAGAUGACUGUAGGUGAAAGCUUACAUCUCUUCGGAGCAUUUUACGAGGUGCUGCAUGGUUGUCGUCAGCUCGUGCCGUGAGGUGUCGGGUUAAGUCCCAUAACGAGCGCAACCCUACCUUUAGUUGCCAUCAGGUAAUGCUGGGGACUCUAAAGGAACUGCCUACGCAAGUAGUGAGGAAGGCGGGGAUGACGUCAAAUCAGCACGGCCCUUACGUCCAGGGCUACACACGUGCUACAAUGGCCGAUACAGAGGGCAGCUACCUGGUGACAGGAUGCAAAUCUCCAAAGUCGGUCUCAGUUCGGAUCGGAGUCUGCAACCCGACUCCGUGAAGUUGGAUUCGCUAGUAAUCGCGCAUCAGCCAUGGCGCGGUGAAUACGUUCCCGGGCCUU
rnacentral:rRNA from 1 species